rnacentral:rRNA from 1 species
UUUAAAGAGAGUUUGAUCCUGGCUCAGGACGAACGCUGGCGGCGUGCCUAAUACAUGCAAGUCGAACGAACGGAGGAAGAGCUUGCUCUUCCAAAGUUAGUGGCGGACGGGUGAGUAACACGUGGGCAACCUGCCUGUAAGUUGGGGAUAACUCCGGGAAACCGGGGCUAAUACCGAAUGAUAGAGUGUGGCGCAUGCCACGCUUUUGAAAGAUGGUUUCGGCUAUCGCUUACAGAUGGGCCCGCGGUGCAUUAGCUAGUUGGUAGGGUAAUGGCCUACCAAGGCAACGAUGCAUAGCCGACCUGAGAGGGUG